rnacentral:lncRNA from 1 species
AACUCUUUAGCCAUCGCUUGCUUGAACUCAUUGAUCAUCCUUUGGUUAUUUCCUGCAAAGAUUAAAUCAUCCACGUACAAGCAAACGAUCAAGAUAUCUCCAUCUUUCAUCUUGGCAUAGAGCGCAUGCUCAUGUGGGCAUUUGGCGAAGUCAUUUUCUUGCCAGUACUUGUUGAUCCUACUGUUCCAUGCCCUUGGUGCUUGCUUUUGUCCAUAUAAUGCCUUCUUCAAUCUUAAGACUUUGUCUUCCUGCGUCGUCACCUCAUAGCCCAUAGGUUGUCAGAUGUAAACUUCUUCCUCAAGGACUCCAUUCAAGAACGCCAACUUUACAUCCAUUUGGUGUAUCUUCCAUUUAUUUUGAGCUGUCAGAGAAAUGAUUAGUCUUAUAGUUUCUAAACGGGCUACAGGGGCAAAUACCUCGUCAUAGUCGAUGCCGGCUCUUUGACUGUAUCCUUUUGCAACAAGCCUCGCCUUGUAUCUUUCGUUAAGACUUUGUCUUCCUGCGUCUUCACCUCAUAGCCCAUAGGUUGUCGGAUGUAAACUUCUUCCUCAAGGACUCCAUUCAAGAACGCCAACUUUACAUCCAUUUGGUGUAUCUUCCAUUUAUUUUGAGCUUCCAGAGAAAUGAUUAGUCUUACUGUUUCUAAACGGGCUACAGGAGAAAAUACCUCGUCAUAGUCGAUGCCGGCUCUUUGACUGUAUCCUUUUGCAACAAGCCUCGC